UUUGCAGCAGCCUGUAACCUGAAGAGAGUAUACUCCUCCAAACCUGCUUUUUCAGAUCCAGGUACCUGAGGUGAAAUCAUUGUGCUUGGCAAACAGAGGCAUGUCCUUCUAAGAAGAGAAGGAGAGCAAGCAAGGUUAUUCCUAGAGGAGUCAUCAUCUAGUGGUUCAUGUACUGUAGGGAACAGAGGCAGCAAGUGGGCAGACACCGCAUCUACUCAUCCCACCUGUACCGUACUAGAUCCUGCUACCAGCUAAGGACUGUCUCUGGCAAUUAACCUUUGGUUACAAAAGAAGAAAAAUCACGUACUGCUUCUGCAAUUUGAAGACUGAAUCCGCUUUCAUUGCUGCAGCGGUCACACCUCCUCCAGUGAAACCAGGCUGAGUGUGGUAAGCGUACUGUCUUCAGAAGGCUCAGAAUUUG